AACGAACGCUGGCGGCAUGCCUAACACAUGCAAGUCGAACGAGACCUUCGGGUCUAGUGGCGCACGGGUGCGUAACGCGUGGGAACCUGCCCUUAGGUUCGGAAUAACUCCCCGAAAGGGGUGCUAAUACCGGAUAAUGUCUUCGGACCAAAGAUUUAUCGCCUUUGGAUGGGCCCGCGUUGGAUUAGCUAGUUGGAAGGGUAAAAGCCUACCAAGGCGACGAUCCAUAGCUGGUCUGAGAGGAUGAUCAGCCACACUGGGACUGAGACACGGCCCAGACUCCUACGGGAGGCAGCAGUGGGGAAUAUUGGACAAGGGGCGAAAGCCUGAUCCAGCAAUGCCGCGUGAGUGAUGAAGGCCUUAGGGUUGUAAAGCUCUUUUACCCGGGAUGAUAAUGACAGUACCGGGAGAAUAAGCUCCGGCUAACUCCGUG
rnacentral:rRNA from 1 species